rnacentral:lncRNA from 1 species
UAUUGGCAUUGUUAUGGCAUUAACAGCUAUAUAUAUGUACUUUUUUCAAAACAACAUUUAUAGCAUAACUUGAAUUUUCUAUUUAUUAGUAUAUACAUUUUUCUUCUUUUGAAAUGUGUAUUUUCUAGUUUAUUGGAUAUUGAAAACAAUCUUUGAUUUAUCAUUGUAAUUUAAGUUCACUGUCUCUUUUCCAGCAAUUAUUCUUUUUUCUCUUUUGUGCAGUAGUAGAAAACAAAAUCCAAGCAAGCAUAGACCGGCAAGAUAUUCAGCUGUCUGGAAGUCUGGAGAUUUUGUCCAGCAAGAAGCCCCCUAACAAAAGGCAGAAUGCCAAACUGAGUGCUGACCUCUGACAUGGCUCUGAUACCCCAGGCCCAUUAAGAGAGCCUUUUCUCCCAGCGGGGAGGUGAUAGAAUAUUCUGAAUUUUCUGUUGAAAAACUAAGACUAUAUGCAAAGAAAAAUUCCCCCCAACGGGUGCAAUUCUAUCUGGAUGAUGCCGUCUCAAAAUAAAUAGCCUGUGAGGUUUGUGGCUUAGAAGACUUGUGACCCCAUACCUCUUUGUGUCGUUUUGAAAUUUUGCCUCCAGUUCUGUUUCUCUGACAAGACCCAUGGCCACCUGCAGCCUAAUGCUGCCAUGAAGCUUUGUUCUGCUCUUUGGUUGCUGCUGGGUUCUUCUUGGAUUGAAAAGAAAAAUCACUUCAAUCAGUCCAUCUAUAAUGAAAUACUGAUCUAAUGUUUGAUACUCCACCAUGAAAUUAAAAUGAAACCGCCCUUGCCACCUCCACCCCCAGCGCCUGUUUCCGAAAGUUUUAUGAAGCUUCGUGGAUGCUUUACCUCAAAGAUGCCCUUGGGCUUCCUCCAGGAGAAUGAAGAGGGGCAGGUCUCCAGCUGAAUCUGUGCCUACAAAUGGAAUCAAAGUCUCAUCAAAGUCUCAGUCAGUUCCUGAGGCAGAAGAGAUGGGUGUGUCUUAUCCAAGAUUUCUCUGGCUCCAGGGGCAGGUCUCCAGCUGAAUCUGUGCCUACGAAUGCAAUCAAAGUCUCAUCAAAGUCUCAGUUCCUGAGGCAGAAGAGAUGGGUGUGUCUUAUCCAAGAUUUCUCUGGCUCCAGGGGCAGGUCUCCAAUGCAAACAAAGUCUCAUCAAAGUCUCAGUUCCUGAGGCAGAAGAGAUGGGUGUGUCUUAUCCAAGAUUUCUCUGGCUCCAGGGGCAGGUCUCCAGCUGAAUCUGUGCCUACAAAUGGAAUCAAAGUCUCAUCAAAGUCUCAGUCAGUUCCUGAGGCAGAAGAGGUGGGUGUGUCUUAUCCAAGAUUUCUCUUAUGGAACAAAGUUACAUCAAAGCCAAUUUAAAAGCCUAUGUAAAAAAAAUUAUUAUUAUUGAUGCAAUGUAUACAAAUAUAUAGACCAAUAUAAUAAGUUUACUAUUCCUACCAUGAUUUGUCUUUAGUAAAAUGGGAAACUGGAGAAAAACUUAUGUUUCCAAAUGAUUAUAUAUCUGUGUUAGAUUCUAGUCUUGCCUAAUUUUUUUUCAAUUUGGAUUACUUUCUACAGUUUGGACCAAAUUCUAAUUUUUUUUUAUUACAAGUCUCCAAAAUAAUUUUUAAAUUUUUUUUUCCUUCUUUUUUCCAUUUUUCCUAAUUUGGAGUCACUGAAAACUAAGCUGUGCUUUCUUAAAAUCCUGUGAACUGAAGCCAGACAACUUAAACUUCAGAAGAAAAUAACAGCAACCUAUUUACAUACAUAAACCACUUUCAUACCUGCCUACUGAUGCAUAGACUUCAGAGUAAUGAGGCCUAUAUCAAAUGUUUCCCGGAUUGUUCUUUUGUUUGUUGUUGUUUUCUCUCUCUUCCUCCCACUAUUUUCUCUUCGCAGGACAUGAGACUUAACAACCUGCUAAAAAUGAGCUUUUGGGACCUACCCAUCAAGGAAUAAACUGUCCUCGCCAUGAGAGAUCAAAUGAAACCUGAGACCAGAGACUCAUUUUCUUGUAAAAUGCUUUCUCCAACAGAUUUUUAAAAAGAAAAGGGGGGAAAUGUGAAAGGAAAAUAUCUGUGGUCCCCAAAAUCACGAAGGAAAACUCAAGCCGGGAACUGCUUAGGGCAAACCUGCCUCCCAUUCUAUUCAAAGUCACUCCUUUGCCCAAUCAGAUAGAUGCUUAUCUGAUUUGCCUCCUUUGGAAAGGCUGAUCAGAAACUCAAAAGAAUGGAACCAUUUGUGUAACAGCCAUCUGUGACCUGGAAGCUUCCUUCCCACUUCAGUCUUCCUGCCUUUGCUUCAAGUUGUCCUGUCUUUCCAGAUGAAGCAAUGUACUUCUUAACAUAUAUUGACUGAUGUCUCAUGAUGUCUCCCUAAAUGUAUGAAACCAAGCUGUGCCUGACAACCUUGGACAUAUUUUGUCAAGACUUCCCUGAGGCUGUCAUUGGUGCAUCCUCAACCUUGGCAAAAUAAACUUUCUAAA